CUGUGAGGGGAAUGAUGUAUUAUUAUCGAGCACUUAAGACACUUUCCUAUUUAGAUUCGGCAUCUGAGAUGGAUAUAAGG
rfam:Populus trichocarpa scaffold_11_contig_192, whole genome shotgun sequence.